CGUCAGUGCAAUUAUAAGUUUCCGCGCUCAAUUUUAAUCGUUCAUUUUAUUUAAUUUUUUUUAUAAUUAGUAUUUUUGUUGUUACGAGAUAAUAAAAUAUGAAUAGUACUAUACUCAUGACUUAUAUUUUUAAAUUUUUUUAAAAUUUUUUUAAAUAAAACGAACGAACAGAGGGCAUUUUGCUGUUUGGACA
rfam:Oryza barthii chromosome 4, whole genome shotgun sequence.